rnacentral:rRNA from 1 species
CAGCCGCCGCGGUAAUACGUAGGGUGCAAGCGUUAAUCGGAAUUACUGGGCGUAAAGCGUGCGCAGGCGGUGUUGUAAGACUGAUGUGAAAUCCCCGGGCUCAACCUGGGAACUGCAUUGGUGACUGCAACGCUGGAGUGCGGCAGAGGGGAUGGAAUUCCGCGUGUAGCAGUGAAAUGCGUAGAUAUGCGGAGGAACACCGAUGGCGAAGGCAAUCCCCUGGGCCUGCACUGACGCUCAUGCACGAAAGCGUGGGGAGCAAACAGGAUUAGAUACCCGGGUAGUCCCUGUCUCUUAUACA